rnacentral:lncRNA from 1 species
UGAGAGUGCUGCAUCCAAAUUAGGAGACAACUGGAAGAGAGAGUGACACUGGAGACAACUGGAAGAGAGAGUGACACUGGACCUGACUUGAGCUUCUGAAACUCAAAGCUCACACUCCAGUGACAGUGUUUUGUUUUUGUUUUUGUUUUUGUUUUUUCCAACAAGGCCACACCUUCUAAUAGUGCCACUUCCUCAGGGCCUAGGGGGUCGAUUUUCAUUCAAACCACCAUAUGUGGCCUGACGUGGUUGGUGGCACAUACCUUUAGUCCUAGCAUAAGGGAGGCAGAGGCAGGUGGAUCUCUGAGUUAGAGGCCAGCCUGAUCUACAGAGUGAAUUCCAGGACAGUCAGGAUUACAGAGAAACCAUGUCUCAAAAACAUAAAUAAAUAAAUUACUUAACUAAUAAGAAAAGAAAAGAUAAAUAAAGUGAAGCGCAUUGGAAAGAUAUUGGUUAAGUGCACUGGCUACUCUUCCAGACAACGUAAGUUCAAGUCCCUGUACUCACAUAGCAGUUCACAGCAAUCUAUAACUCCAGUCCCUGGGAAUCUGACUUCCUCUUCUGGUACCAGCCAUGUUGCAGUGUACUUAUAUGCAUGUAAGAAACACAUACACAUACACACAUCUGUGUGUAUAUGUGUGUGUGUGUGUGUGUGUGUGUGUGUGUGUGUGUGUGUGUAAUUGUAGUACUCUGGAGGCUGGGACAGGAAGAUCACCAGAGUUCAAGGUCAGCCUAGAAAAUCUAACAAGUCCAAGGCCAGCCUGGGCUACAUGGUGAGGUCUUAUCCCUGUCUCACAAUUCAGAAAAAAAAAAUUAAAAAUGAGUAAAUUAAAAGGCUACUGUGCAGCAAGGGGAAGAAUUGGAGUUAAACGCUUCCAGAAUUGGAGAAAAUCUUUUCAGCUAUUUGUCAGACAGAGGGUGAAUAUCCAGAAUACAGAAACAGUUCCAAAAAUUAAAUACUGGAAAGAGAUAAAAAUUCUUAAAAAAAAAAAAAAAAAGUAGGAUGAAGUAUUCCUUAGCCAUCAGAGGAACGUAGACUUCACUGAGAGCCCACCCUGGUCAGAAAGGCUAUCAUCGAGAAAACAACAAAUCCUGGAGAGAAUGAGAGGGAUUCUGACAUGGUUGGUGGGAUGUAGGUUAGUGUAGCCACUUUGGAGUCAGUAUGGUAAUUCCUCAAUAAACGAAGUACAGAAAUACCAUAUGACCCAGCUACACCACUCCUGGGUAGAUACCUGAAGGAACCCAAGCCAAUAAGCAGCAGUGAGUGUGAUACCUUCACACCAUAUUAUCAAGGCCCUGUUCACCACUGACAAAAGAAUUAGCUUGGUUCCCAUCAACCAAUAAACUUAUGGCUAAAGCAGAAACCUGGGCUAUGCAGAAAGUUCCAGAGCAUUCUGAACUAGAGUUAUACCCUGUCUCAACCAAUCAAUGGCUAAAGCAAAUACAGACAGCAUUACUCAGCUAUGAAGGAAGGGGAAAUCACUUUGUCUGAAGGAGAAAAGCUGGAAGUGGAGACCACACACAUUAAGCAAGACAAACCAGACUCAGAAUGACAAGAUCCUAAGUUUUCUCUCAUGUGUGACUCUAGGACACAGGGUUAAGAAGGCAUGAAGAAGAAGAAGUGGUCCAUGCCUAUGAUCCGACUAUCUGAGAUGCUGAGGCCAGAGAAUCAGAAGCCUUAGCUGCCUAGCAAGGUCAAGGCCAGCCUGGGUUACACGCUCAAAUAAGCAAACAGAAAAACUGGAGCAACAAAGAAAGAGAGGGGAGAACAUCGGAGAGGGGAGAGAGAUACACAGACAGAGAUUGACAGAUAGAUAGAUGUUCAUUAAGAAAGAGAAAACAAACACAUUGUAAAAACAAAAGAACACUGGGCUAUAGAGUGAGUUCUAGUUUAGUCAGGGUUACACCGAGAAAUCCUGUCUUCAAAACAAAACAAAACAACAAACAACGAGGAAAACAACUGGGGAGAAGAAUUAAGAGAAGUUAAGAGUCUGGAGUAAAGAGUUCUAGGAGUCUCACAAGCAUUAAGCCCUUGAAAAAGGAGAAACUGCUUUCUGUGUUGUCAGGGAGUGAAGAAACUUUAUCACCUAGACAGGAAGCUCAUCUCAGCCUUCCUGGUCUGCAUCUCAGAGCUUUGGCAAACACUAGGAACCCAGCCAACUGGUCUGGGGCAGCCCUCUUCCUGCUGAUGCCUUGUGAGACUUGUGACACAGCAGGUGUGCUGACCCCUUCUGCAUUCCUGAGAGAGAAUUUCCAGUCUGUCCAGUAACUCCAGAAAGUUGUUCUCUCACCUCCAUAUAUGGACAAUGGCAUGUGUGCAACCGCCCCCUCCCGUCCCCCACUCACACUUAGAGAAAGAAGAAAAAAAGACCAGCGUGCACUAUGCAGAAAGUUCCAGAGCAUCCUGGACUACAGAGUUCGACCCUGUCUCAAAACAAACAAACAAACAAACAGGAAAUAAAGGGGGAAAAAAGGAAGCUAAGGAAUUUACAGAGAAAUGUUAGGACUGUUAACCUAAAGAUUUCUUUCCGUUUGGGGUCUGGGUUGAGGAAAAUCCAUCCACUUCUCAGGAGACUAUGAAUUGUCACUAGAAGGCCAUUCACCUUUUUUCUUUUUUCUUUUUUUUUUAAGAUUUACUUUAUUAUUUUAUGUGUAUGGGUGUUUGCACAUAUGUUUGUGCACCACGUGUGUGCCUGAUGCCCUCAGAGGUCAGAAGAGGAGAGUCUGAUUCCCUGCAAUUGGAAUUAUUAGCCACCGUGUUGUUUCCAGGACUCAAACCCGGGUCCUCCACUCUUAACCACUGAGCCAACUGCCUAGCCCCAUCGUUCCACAUGAGUCAAAUGACUCUCCUUGGACUUAGUCAUCAAACAUGAACGCUCUUGCCUACCUAUGCAGGAAGUAAAAGUUCUAAGUCACUGUGUGCCAGUGAGGUUAAAACAAACAAAACUUAAAUAGAAGGAAAUGGAACAAAACCAUUCCUAGAGCAGGCGGUGUCCUGUCUUGCCAUAGCUCAUGCUACAACAGCUCUGGGCUCAUAGGCUCUGGAAGAAGGUACUAGAUGCUUGGUGCCCAGACUGGAGCAGGCAGCAUCCUUUAAGUCCCUAAUUCUAAAGUUCAGUUGAAACCAACCUUUCAGUUUUGCCUGUUGUUCAGAGUUUGUCUCCAAUUGAACUGCACUCUCAGAAACCUCCCUGCUGGCUGCUUUUUCAGAGUCUCUGUCAUGAACGUUUCUACACUCCCCCAGCCCACUCCCAGAAGCAGCAGUGCUGGUCACUGGCACCUGAAAGUCUCCAUCAGAGGAUAGAUGAGCAUCAGGGACGUUGUCUCUUAUGGCCCUGUACUGGCUGGUUUUCUGUGUCACCUUGACACAAGCUAGAGUCAUCACAGAGAAAGGAACCUCAACUGAGAAGAUGUUUCCAUUAGACCCAA